rnacentral:rRNA from 1 species
GCGACGAUCCCUAGCUGGUCUGAGAGGAUGACCAGCCACACUGGAACUGAGACACGGUCCAGACUCCUACGGGAGGCAGCAGUAGGGAAUAUUGCACAAUGGGCGAAAGCCUGAUGCAGCAACGCCGCGUGCGGGAUGACGGCCUUCGGGUUGUAAACCGCUUUCGCUCAUGACGAAGCUUUGUGUGACGGUAGUGGGUAAAGAAGCACCGGCUAACUACGUGCCAGCAGCCGCGGUGAUACGUAGGGUGCGAGCGUUGUCCGGAUUUAUUGGGCGUAAAGGGCUCGUAGGUGGUUGAUCGCGUCGGAAGUGUAAUCUUGGGGCUUAACCCUGAGCGUGCUUUCGAUACGGGUUGACUUGAGGAAGGUAGGGGAGAAUGGAAUUCCUGGUGGAGCGGUGGAAUGCGCAGAUAUCAGGAGGAACACCAGUGGCGAAGGCGGUUCUCUGGGCCUUUCCUGACGCUGAGGAGCGAAAGCGUGGGGAGCGAACAGGCUUAGAUACCCUGGUAGUCCACGCUGUAAACGGUGGGUACUAGGUGUGGGGUCCAUUCCACGGGUUCCGUGCCGUAGCUAACGCUUUAAGUACCCCGCCUGGGGAGUACGGCCGCAAGGCUAAAACUCAAAGGAAUUGACGGGGCCCCGCACAAGCGGCGGAGCAUGCGGAUUAAUUCGAUGCAACGCGAAGAACCUUACCUGGGUUUGACAUGGAUCAGGAGUGCUUAGAGAUGGGUGCGCCUCUUUUGGGGCUGGUUCACAGGUGGUGCAUGGCUGUCGUCAGCUCGUGUCGUGAGAUGUUGGGUUAAGUCCCGCAACGAGCGCAACCCUUAAGCUUAGUUGCCAUCAUUAAGUUGGGCACUCUAAGUUGACUGCCGGUGACAAACCGGAGGAAGGUGGGGAUGACGUCAAGUCAUCAUGCCCCUUAUGUCCAGGGCUUCACGCAUGCUACAAUGGCUGGUACAAAGAGUUGCGAGCCUGUGAGGGUGAGCGAAUCUCGGAAAGCCGGUCUCAGUUCGGAUUGGGGUCUGCAACUCGACCUCAUGAAGUCGGAGUCGCUAGUAAUCGCAGAUCAGCAACGCUGCGGUGAAUACGUUCCCGGGGCUUGUACACACCGCCCGUCAAGUCAUGAAAGUUGGUAACACCCGAAGCCGGUGGCCUAACCGUUGUGGGGGAGCCGUCGAAGGUGGGACUGGUGAUUAGGAC